rnacentral:rRNA from 1 species
CCUGCCCUGUGACAAUGUUUAACGGCCGCGGUAUUUUGACCGUGCGAAGGUAGCGUAAUCACUUGUCUUUUAAAUGAAGACCUGUAUGAAAGGCAUCACGAGAGUUUAACUGUCUCUAUUUUCUAAUCAAUGAAAUUGAUCUUCUCGUGCAGAAGCGAGAAUAUUACCAUUAGACGAGAAGACCCUAUGGAGCUUCAAACACUUAAAUUAAUUAUGUAAAAUUAUAAUCCUUAGGGAAAAAUCAUCCAUAUAAUAUUCCUAAUUUAACUGUUUUUGGUUGGGGUGACCGAGGGGGAAAAGAAAUCCCCCUUAUCGACUGAGUACUAAGUACUUAAAAAUUAGAACGACAGUUCUGAUUAAUAAAACAUUUACCGAAAAAUGACCCAGAUUCUUCUGAUCAAUGAACCAAGUUACCCUAGGGAUAACAGCGCAAUCCUUUCCCAGAGUCCCUAUCGCCGAAAGGGUUUACGACCUCGAUGUUGGAUCAGGACAUCCUAAU